GCCCGGAUAGCUCAGUCGGUAGAGCAUCAGACUUUUAAUCUGAGGAUCCAGGGUUCAACUCAUUGUUCGCACA
rnacentral:tRNA from 1 species